GCGGGAGUUGCUAAGGAAAAGGAUUCCAAACAAAGGGCAUUCGACAGAGUAUCUGACACUUCCUCUCAAAUUGUGUCUGUAAUUUUUCUUCUCAUUUCGUUUACUUUCAAUAUCGGAUCAAGAAUGUACCGCGUUUGCACAAAAAUCGUUGACAGCUCCUUUUUAAUUUGAAAUGUGUUUGAGAGUGCACUUCAUGCUUAUGUUCGUGCCUGCAUACUAUUUGGUUUCAUUGAUUCAAGUCUGUUUGGCGUAUUCAGUAUUUUAUUUUCUAUUAAUAGUCGACUUUACUAACCAAUUAUCAUCUGUUGUUGGAAACUGUCAUAGUCAUCUAAAAAGGGUCGUAGUUCAUGUCAUUUAUCUGAUGCAACUCUCUAUAACUUGAACAGAUACAUGUAGAAUAUUCCUCAAUUGGCAAUUGGGUCACAGUGCAUUGCAAUAGAAGCUGCUGGAAUAUUACCAUUAGAAAGAACACGUUCUUUAACUUUUCCUUGGCUUAAAUUGUCAUGUUGAUAUUUGGAGUGAAUAAUGAAUGGAGACUUGCUCAAUUCAUAUUCAUUAUCAAGUGAUGCAGUAACUGAUUCUGAUUAUGGGAAGAAUUUUACUUUUUGGCAAUGUUAUACUGGCAAUUUGAUCCAAGAGGACCCUAAUUCUGUGUUUUCUAGGUUACCCUAUGGCCAAAACUUGUACGGGAAUCAACAGGUACAUGCUCCAAUGGCUUGCUCAUAAUUGGCUUUAUUGUAUGGGUGAAUUUUGCUGUGGCUGGCUCUACUGCAUUACCUGUGGAAUUGCUUUACUGAUAGAUCUCUUACCAAACAAAUAUAACUACACUUUCUUUCAAGGCAAGAGUAUUGAUGACUUAAGUUCAUGAUACCGGAUAUUGUUAAAGUCAUCAAAAAUGCUGUCAGGGAUUUCACUCCAAUGAUUCCUGUGCAUAUGAUGAAUUUCAUUGCCUCAAAAGAAUGAAUAUCACAAUGAACAACUCCGGCAAGCAAUUGAAGAAUUGCACGAAGAGCAUCCAAAUGUGACUAUAGUAUACAGAGAUUGCUACAAUGCCUACAAGUGGAUUUUGCUGAAAGCUGCAUUACUAUGUGAAUUAGUCUUCUAAAUCUAUAAAUGAUGGUUCUAACAAAUAUAGCAUAUAACUGAAAUUGAAAUCAUUCACUUGUUUGAUGUAAAUAGGAUUUGAUCCAAAAUCAUUGCGAAAAGCUUGUUGUGGGAGUGGAGGUGUUGUGGGAGUGCAGUUGAUUAUGACUUUACUCUUGGUAGAAUGUGUGGAGCUCCUGAUGUACUGAUUUGUCCUAAACUUGGGGAACGCAUUAGUUGUGAUGGAGUACAUUCAACAGAAAUGCCUAUUUCUUCAUGGCAUGACUCGCUCAUUUGCGAGUUGCGACAUCUUCCAAAAACUUCAAUGCAAUGCUUGAUUAUUUCAUAAAAUUUGAUGUUAGUUACAUUAGUGAGUAGCAGAGAGUAUGCAGUUUGACUUUGUGCUUUUAGUUAAUAGAAUAAAAUUUUAGUUAUUGAAAAUAUUUUAACUGCUAUUUUAAUUAAUAUCAAUUCUCAUGUAGUUGAAUUCACAUCUACUAGUACCAAGUACUAGAAUGCAAAAUACAACAGAAAAUCCCACUGAUGAUGCCUGAAAUGCUUUUUUAUGAAGUAAUGAGAGGAUU
rnacentral:misc_RNA from 1 species